rnacentral:piRNA from 1 species
UAGAGCAAGUGACGAUUCUCGCAGA